CAUCUUCUACAGCUUCUUCCAUCUGAGCUUCGCCUGCGCCCAGCUGCCCAUGAUUUAUUUCCUGAACCACUACCUGUAUGACCUGAACCACACGCUGUACAAUGUGCAGAGCUGCGGCACCAACAGCCACGGGAUCCUCAGCGGCUUCAACAAGACGGUUCUGCGGACGCUGCCGCGGAGCGGAAACCUCAUUGUGGUGGAGAGCGUGCUCAUGGCAGUGGCCUUCCUGGCCAUGCUGCUGGUGCUGGGUUUGUGCGGAGUGGAGCCUUGGGAACCCCUCGGCCAAGCACAGGGGUUCGAAAAUACAGCUGAAACCCCGCGGGCCCUUAGCACGCGCCCCAGCGCCGGAGCAGGGUCAGGGUCUUCUUGCGACCCGGCCCCGCUCCAGAUCCCCCCAGCUCUCGGCCGCGGACCCGGGCCGCAUGUGAGCGCGCUUUGCACCUCCUAUCCCCAGGGUCCGCCGAGAGCCACGAUUUUUUACAGAAAAUGAGCAAUAAAGAGAUUUUGUACUGUC
rnacentral:sRNA from 1 species